ACAGAAGUUGGUUCAACCAAAGAUAUUACCUCCCCCACCUUGUCUCUCUAAUAUUCUGGGACCGAUACGGCUAACGUACUGCAUACAACAGUGCUUCUACAGUCAGGUUGUAGGACAGCGCACAUGGCAUUGCAAGCCAAAGCUUGGGAGCAUGGCCGGCAGCUCUUCUAAAUGUUUAUGCAGAUAUGAACAUCCACUGGGAGAGUGAAAUAACAUUUAGCACCGUUCACCCUCAAAGAACUUUCCAAGCAACUGAUCUGGACACUGUGGGGAAGUGGAUCAGUCGCAUUCUCCACCCAUCUGCAGUUGGGGAAACGGAGCCAAAGCAGCAGAAUCAUUCAGGAGUCACUGGUAGAAGCUGGAAUAAAACUCCAGCUAGACAAUAAUUCUGUGAUUUAAGGGUUUCUUGGCUUCUCUCGGUAGAUACCCUGGAGAAUUAGGUGUAUGUUCAAAACUGAAUUAUUGCAAUGCGUACACCUUUCCAAAUGACCUCUAUUGAUAAUAUAAGCAUGUUAUAAAGUGACUUGCAAGGGCUUCUGAGUGUAAAACAAAUACUGCACUACCAAAUAUUAAAAAACCUAAAAGGAAAGCCAAUCGGUCUAACUAUGCCGCUAAACACCAGCAAAGCACUGUGGUACUAAAGGCAAACCUCACUGCUAAACUGUCACUGUUUUGCAAACCUCACUGGAGACAAGAUCAGUU